rnacentral:rRNA from 1 species
UGCCCAGAUCUAAGGAAUAGCCACUGGAAACGGUGAGUAAUACCUUAUACGCCCUUCGGGGAAAGAUUUAUCGGAUUUGGAUCGGCCCGCGUUAGAUUAGAUAGUUGGUGGGGUAACGGCCUACCAAGUCUACGAUCUAUAGCUGGUUUUAGAGGAUGAUCAGCAACACUGGGACUGAGACACGGCCCAGACUCCUACGGGAGGCAGCAGUGGGGAAUCUUGGACAAUGGGCGCAAGUGAUCCAGCCAUGCCGCGUGAGUGAUGAAGGCCUUAGGGUCGUAAAGCUCUUUCGCCAGGGAUGAUAAUGACAGUACCUGGUAAAGAAACCCCGGCUAACUCCGUGCCAGCAGCCGCGGUAAUACGGAGGGGGUUAGCGUUGUUCGGAAUUACUGGGCGUAAAGCGCACGUAGGCGGAUUGGAAAGUUAGAGGUGAAAUCCCGGGGCUCAACCCCGAACUGCCUUUAAAACUCCCAGUCUAGAGUUCGAGAGAGGUAAGUGGAAUUCCGAGUGUAGAGGUGAAAUUCGUAGAUAUUCGGAGGAACACCAGUGGCGAAGGGGCUUACUGGCUCGAUACUGACGCUGAGGUGCGAAAGUGUGGGGAGCAAACAGGAUUAGAUACCCUGGUAGUCCACACCGUAAACGAUGAAUGCCAGUCGUCGGGUAGCAUGCUAUUCGGUGACACACCUAACGGAUUA